rnacentral:rRNA from 1 species
UCCGGUUGAUCCUGCCGGAGGUUACUGCUAUCGAGGUUCGACUAAGCCAUGCGAGUCGAAUGUAGCAAUACAUGGCGAACUGCUCAGUAACACGUGGACAACCUGCCNUUAGGUUGGGUAUAAACCCGGGAAACUGGGUAUAAUACCCGAUAGGUCUCGAUUGCUGGAAUGCAUCGAGAUNUAAAGNUCCGGCGCCUAAGGAUGGGUCUGCGGCCUAUCAGGUAGUAGUGGGUGUAGCGUACCUACUAGCCUACGACGGGUACGGGUUGUGAGAGCAAGAGCCCGGAGAUGGAUUCUGAGACACGAAUCCAGGCUCUACGGGGUGCAGCAGGCGCGAAAACUUUACAAUGCUGGCAACAGCGAUAAGGGAACCUCGAGUGCCAGGUUACAAAUCUGGCUGUCGAGAUGCCUAAAAAGCAUUUCAUAGCAAGGGCCGGGCAAGACCGGUGCCAGCCGCCGCGGUAACACCGGCGGCUCGAGUGGUAACCGUUAUUAUUGGGUCUAAAGGGUCUGUAGCCGGCCGGAUAAGUCUCUUGAGAAAUCUGGCAGCUUAACUGUCAGGCUUUCAGGAGAUACUGUCUGGCUCGAGGCCGGGAGAGGUGAGAGGUACUUCAGGGGUAGGGGUGAAAUCUUGUAAUCCUUGAAGGACCACCAGUGGCGAAGGCGUCUCACCAGAACGGACCUGACGGCAAGGGACGAAAGCUAGGGGCACGAACCGGAUUAGAUACCCGGGUAGUCCUAGCCGUAAACGAUACUCGCUAGGUGUCGGCCACGGUGCGACCGUUGUCGGUGCCGUAGGGAAGCCGUGAAGCGAGCCACCUGGGAAGUACGGCCGCAAGGCUGAAACUUAAAGGAAUUGGCGGGGGAGCACCACAACGGGUGGAGCUUGCGGUUUAAUUGGAUUCAACGCCGGG